GGGGCGGUUGGCCUCGUAAAAAGCCGCAAAAAAUAGUCGCAAACGACGAAAACUACGCUUUAGCAGCUUAAUAACCUGCUCUGAGCCCUCUCUCCCUAGCUUCCGCUCUUAAGACGGGGAUCAAAGAGAGGUCAAACCCAAAAGAGAUCGCGUGGAUGCCCUGCCUGGGGUUGAAGCGUUAAAUCUAAUCAGGCUAGUUUGUUAGUGGCGUGUCUGUCCGCAGCUGGCAAGCGAAUGUAAAGACUGACUAAGCAUGUAGUGCCGAGGAUGUAGGAAUUUCGGACGCG
rnacentral:tmRNA from 1 species